CCUACGGGUGGCAGCAGUGGGGAAUAUUGGGCAAUGGGCGCAAGCCUGACCCAGCAACGCCGCGUGAAGGAAGAAGGCUUUCGGGUUGUAAACUUCUUUUGACAGGGAAGAGUAGAAGACGGUACCUGUCGAAUAAGCCACGGCUAACUACGUGCCAGGGGCCGCGGUAAUACGGAGGUGGCAAGCGUUGUCCGGAUUUACUGGGUGUAAAGGGCGUGUAUCCGGGUUGACAAGUCAGGUGUGAAAUCCUUCGGCUUAACCGCAGAACUGCAUUUGAAACUGUUGAUCUUGAGUAAUGGAGAGGUAGACGGAAUUCCUAGUGUAGCGGUGAAAUGCGUAGAUAUAAGGAAGAACACCAGAGGCGAAGGCAGUCUGCUGGACAGCUACUGACGGUGAGGCGCGAAAGCGUGGGGAGCAAACAGGAUUAGAUACCCCAGUAGUC
rnacentral:rRNA from 1 species